CGUAGCCGCGGUAAUACCGAGGGUGCGAGCGUUAAUCGGAUUUACUGGGCGUAAAGCGUGCGUAGGCGGCUUCUUAAGUCGGAUGUGAAAUCCCUGAGCUUAACUUAGGAAUUGCAUUCGAUACUGGGAAGCUAGAGUAUGGGAGAGGAUGGUAGAAUUCCAGGUGUAGCGGUGAAAUGCGUAGAGAUCUGGAGGAAUACCGAUGGCGAAGGCAGCCAUCUGGCCUAAUACUGACGCUCAGGUGCGAAAGCGUGGGGAGCAAACAGGAUUAGAUACCCCUGUAGUCCCUGUCUCUUAUACC
rnacentral:rRNA from 1 species